rnacentral:rRNA from 1 species
AUUGAACGCUGGCGGCAUGCCUUACACAUGCAAGUCGAACGGCAGCACGGGAGCAAUCCUGGUGGCGAGUGGCGAACGGGUGAGUAAUAUAUCGGAACGUGCCCAGUGGUGGGGGAUAACGCAGCGAAAGCUGAGCUAAUACCGCAUACGAGCUAAGGAUGAAAUCAGGGGAUCGGAAUACGUCACGCCAUAGCAGCAGGCGAUAUUAGGUUAGCAAGUUGGUGGGGUAAAGGCACACCAAGGCGACGAUCUGUAGCUGGUCUGAGAGGACGAACAGCCAAACGGGAACUGAGACACGGUACAGACUCCUACGGGAGGCAGCAGUGGGGAAUUUUGGACAAUGGGCGCAAGCCUGAUCCAGCAAUGCCGCGUGCAGGAUGAAGGCCUUCGGGUUGUAAACUGCUUUUGUACGGAACGAAACGGCCCUUUCUAAUACAGGGGGCUAAUGACGGUACCGUAAGAAUAAGCACCGGCUAACUACGUGCCAGCAGCCGCCGUAACAC